AAGAUCUUGGUGGAGAAAUGAAGGCUUUGAUCUUUAACUGUGAUUGUGGUGAUGCAGUACGAUCAUAUUCUUCGAUUAGAUUGAUGAGAUCUUCGUCGGAGGUGAUGGAAACCAAAGCGUCGAGGUCUUCAGCAGGUAACUGACAGCGAAGUUGCGUUACGGAUGAACUGCAGAGCUCUUUCAGCUUCAAUAACAGUUCUGUAACAAAAACAGCUUCAAAAUCAAUUUCAAAUUGAACUAAUUAUUGUAACUAACUAUUACAUCUAAUAAUACUGACC
rnacentral:lncRNA from 1 species